CCUACGGGAGGCUGCAGUGAGGAAUAUUGGUCAAUGGUCGGGAGACUGAACCAGCCAAGCCGCGUGAGGGAGGAAGGUACAGAGUAUCGUAAACCUCUUUUGUCAGGGAACAAAGGCGGGGACGUGUCCCCGGCUGAGUGUACCUGAAGAAAAAGCAUCGGCUAACUCCGUGCCAGCAGCCGCGGUAAUACGGAGGAUGCGAGCGUUAUCCGGAUUUAUUGGGUUUAAAGGGUGCGCAGGCGGUCUGUUAAGUCAGCGGUCAAAGCCCGGGGCUCAACCCCGGCCCGCCGUUGAAACUGGCAGUCUCGAGUUGGAGAGAAGUAUGCGGAAUGCGCGGUGUAGCGGUGAAAUGCAUAGAUAUCGCGCAGAACUCCGAUUGCGAAGGCAGCAUGCCGGCUCCACACUGACGCUGAGGCACGAAAGCGUGGGUAUCGAACAGGAUUAGAUACCCCUGUAGUC
rnacentral:rRNA from 1 species